rnacentral:sRNA from 1 species
GCUGGGCGUGGUGGUGCAUGCCUGUAAUCCCAGUGGCUCGGGAGGCUGAGAUAGGAGCAUCACAAGUUCAAAGCCAGCCUCAGCAACUUAGAGAGACCCUGUCUCUA